GACGAACGCUGGCGGCGUGCCUAAUACAUGCAAGUAGAACGCUGAAGGAGGAGCUUGCUCUUCUGGAUGAGUUGCGAACGGGUGAGUAACGCGUAGGUAACCUGCCUGGUAGCGGGGGAUAACUAUUGGAAACGAUAGCUAAUACCGCAUAAGAGUAGAUGUUGCAUGACAUUUACUUAAAAGGUGCAAUUGCAUCACUACCAGAUGGACCUGCGUUGUAUUAGCUAGUUGGUGUGGUAACGGCUUACCAAGGCGACGAUACAUAGCCGACCUGAGAGGGUGAGCGGCCGCACUGGGACUGAGACACGGCCCAGAGGCCUACGGGAGGCAGCAGUAGGGAAUCUGCGGCAAUGGACGGAAGUCUGACCGAGCAACGCCGCGUGAGUGAGGAAGGUUGUCGGAUCGGAAAGCUCUGUUGUAAGGGAAGAACGAGUGUGAGAGUGGAAAGUUCACACUGUGACGGUAUCUGACCAGAAAGGGACGGCUAACUACGUG
rnacentral:rRNA from 1 species